AUUGAACGCUGGCGGCAUGCCUUACACAUGCAAGUCGAACGGUAACAGGUUAAGCUGACGAGUGGCGAACGGGUGAGUAAUGUAUCGGAACGUGCCCAGUCGUGGGGGAUAACUGCUCGAAAGAGCAGCUAAUACCGCAUACGACCUGAGGGUGAAAGCGGGGGAUCGCAAGACCUCGCGCGAUUGGAGCGGCCGAUAUCAGAUUAGGUAGUUGGUGAGGUAAAGGCUCACCAAGCCGACGAUCUGUAGCUGGUCUGAGAGGACGACCAGCCACACUGGGACUGAGACACGGCCCAGACUCCUACGGGAGGCAGCAGUGGGGAAUUUUGGACAAUGGGCGCAAGCCUGAUCCAGCCAUGCCGCGUGCGGGAAGAAGGCCUUCGGGUUGUAAACCGCUUUUGUCAGGGAAGAAAAGGUUCUGGCUAAUACCUGGGAAUCAUGACGGUACCUGAAGAAUAAGCACCGGCUAACUACGUG
rnacentral:rRNA from 1 species